CCUACGGGAGGCUGCAGUAGGGAAUAUUGCUCAAUGGGGGAAACCCUGAAGCAGCAACGCCGCGUGGAGGAUGAAGGUUUUCGGAUUGUAAACUCCUUUUGUUAGAGAAGAUAAUGACGGUAUCUAACGAAUAAGCACCGGCUAACUCCGUGCCAGCAGCCGCGGUAAUACGGAGGGUGCAAGCGUUACUCGGAAUCCCUGGGCGUAAAGAGCGCGUAGGCGGGAUAGCAAGUCAGAUGUGAAAUCCUAUGGGUUAACCAUAGAACUGCAUUUGAAACUGUUAUUCUAGAGUAUGGGAGAGGUAGGUGGAAUUCUUGGUGUAGGGGUAAAAUCCGUAGAGAUCAAGAGGAAUACUCAUUGCGAAGGCGACCUGCUAGAACAUAACUGACGCUGAUGCGCGAAAGCGUGGGGAGCAAACAGGAUUAGAUACCCCAGUAGUC
rnacentral:rRNA from 1 species